UCUCCUGACCUUGUGAUCCGCCCGCCUCAGCCUCCCAAAGUGCUGGAAUUACAGGCAUGAGCCACCACGCCCAGCCGUAUGAUUACCCUUAAGAGUUAACUACCACACUCAAAAGAGGGAGGAGUGGGAAGGAAGAGGCGACGUGAGGGAGCCACUUGGCAGGGGGAGCAGGCGUGCUCUGCAGAACCCCGUGGGCAGCACCAGCGAGUCAGCAAUGGGAAGAAGUGACACGACGGCACAACUCCCAACUCUUUGACCUAUUCAAAGAUGGAACUUCACAGAGAAUCAGCUCUGCUUUGUCCUAGACACAUUUAAAGAGAGCUGAGACGGCCUGUCAGCGCAACUAGGGUUGCCACACACGCCAAGUGGAGGAGAAGAGCCUGCUGUGUGCGCGCACCUGACAGUCACCGGCUUCUCUUUACGUUUCCAAUAGGAAGCGCACACUACGCUGUGGGAACAAAAACACCAGGUGUCUGCUAUGGCCAAGGCAGAUAAGGUCUUUCUCUCCAACAGGAUCCAGAGAUGAGCCACUGGUACUAACACCCAACGGCUGAUGAAUACGUCUGCUGAGGGACACGUUCUACAAAACAAUGAAGUUUGCUGCAUCAACUGCAUUUUCCUUUCAUGAAAAAUUUCUCUGUACCAUGCAGUGGUGUUUGACAGCAUGUUACCCACAGUAGAAUUACUUUCAAAAUCUGAGUCAAUCUUCUCAAACCCUGCCGCUGCUUUAUCAACUAAGUAUGCACUACUGUAAAUCUUUGAUCACUUCAACAAUGUUCACAGCAUCUUCGCUGGUAGAUUUCCUCUUAAAAAACCACAUUGCUCAUUCACAAGAACCAAUGCCUCAGCAAUUUACGUUUUCUCAUGAGACUGCAGUAAUUCAGUCACAUCCUCAGGCUCCAUGUCUAAUUCUAGUUCACUUGCUAGUUCCACCCCAUCUGCAGUUACUUCCUCUACUGAAGUCUUGGAAUGAACUUCUUCCAAACUCCUGUUCAUGUUGCAUUUUGAC
rnacentral:lncRNA from 1 species